rnacentral:tRNA from 1 species
UCCGGGGUUGUGUAAUGGUAGCACAAGGGACUUUGGAUCCCUUUGUCCUGGUUCGAAUCCAGGCCCCGGAG